rnacentral:rRNA from 1 species
GUUAUAUAGUCAAGCGACUAAGCGCAUACGGUGGAUGCCUUGGCAGUCAGAGGCGAUGAAGGACGUAGAAACCUGCGAUAAGCGUUGGUAAGCUGGUAAACGAGCUUUGACCCAACGAUUUCCGAAUGGGGAAACCCAUCCGUCAUAAGGCGGAUAUCCUGCACUGAAUUCAUAGGUGUAGGAAGCGAACCCGGAGAACUGAAACAUCUAAGUACCCGGAGGAAAAGAAAUCAACCGAGAUUCCCCUAGUAGCGGCGAGCGAACGGGGAUCAGCCGAUGGUUGUUGUGUUAGUGGAAUGCUCUGGAAAGUGCAGCAAUAGAGGGUGAUAGCCCCGUACACGAAGACACAGCGAUCACAUAUUAAGUAGGACGGGACACGUGUUAUCUUGUCUGAAGAUGGGGGGACCAUCCUCCAAGGCUAAAUACUCCUGACUGACCGAUAGUGAACCAGUACCGUGAGGGAAAGGCGAAAAGAACCCCUGUGAGGGGAGUGAAAUAGAUCCUGAAACCGUAUGCGUACAAGCAGUGGGAGCAGACUUGUUCUGUGACUGCGUACCUUUUGUAUAAUGGGUCAGCGACUUAAUUUUAGUAGCAAGGUUAACCGUAUAGGGGAGCCGUAGGGAAACCGAGUCUUAAUAGGGCGCAUAGUUGCUAGGAUUAGACCCGAAACCGAGUGAUCUAUCCAUGAGCAGGUUGAAGGUUAGGUAACACUGACUGGAGGACCGAACCCACUGUCGUUGAAAAGCCAGGGGAUGACUUGUGGAUAGGAGUG